rnacentral:rRNA from 1 species
CAAAUCAGGUAGGAUACUACCCGCUGAACUUAAGCAUAUCAAUAAGCGGAGGA